rnacentral:rRNA from 1 species
UUCCUGUACUUGGUGUUACUGCGAAGGGGGGACGGAGAAGGCUAUGUUGGCCGGGCGACGGUUGUCCCGGUUUAAGCGUGUAGGCUGGUUUUCCAGGCAAAUCCGGAAAAUCAAGGCUGAGGCGUGAUGACGAGGCACUACGGUGCUGAAGCAACAAAUGCCCUGCUUCCAGGAAAAGCCUCUAAGCAUCAGGUAACAUCAAAUCGUACCCCAAACCGACACAGGUGGUCAGGUAGAGAAUACCAAGGCGCUUGAGAGAACUCGGGUGAAGGAACUAGGCAAAAUGGUGCCGUAACUUCGGGAGAAGGCACGCUGAUACGUAGGUGAAGCGACUUGCUCGUGGAGCUGAAAUCAGUCGAAGAUACCAGCUGGCUGCAACUGUUUAUUAAAAACACAGCACUGUGCAAACACGAAAGUGGACGUAUACGGUGUGACGCCUGCCCGGUGCCGGAAGGUUAAUUGAUGGGGUUAGCGGUAAC